AUUUCAGCCAAGAUCUAAAAAUGUGUACCUCUUAAAGUCGCUCUAGAAUAAAGUAUUGAUUUAAGUCAAACUGAUUUAUCCUCUGGGGAACCUGAAUGUCUAUAAAAUUUAGUAGAAGUGAUCCUAUCCAAGGAUUAUUUCAGUCAAAAACACAAACCUUAUAGAGCAGCAACAUGUAAAUUAGGGAGCGACACAAACUGGGAGCGGUGUAUCCCCUGAGGAUAGUAAAUAUUGGCAUCUAAUCAGUAGCGAUCGAUUGUUGGGCAAAAUUUUGGACCUGAUUAUGUAAAAAGAGGAAAUAAAAAUGAGGCAGGGAUGCAUCCUGAGGGGACCAUGAGUGUUUUUUUAAAGACUGAAUUGAAUAUUUUCUAUGACUGCACUUAAUUCAGUCAAAAACAAAAGUCACGUUGAGGCAAGAGGAUACAUAAGAGUUACCAAAUUCAUCCUCUGGGGACUCUGAUUGGACCAGGUUAGUCAGAUAUUUAUAGGGAAAAACAUGGAAGUCAAAAUCAAAGAAGUAAAAAGUGAAAAAUAAAAGAAUUAGUCCAAGUUUUUAGGGAACUUCCUCUGGGGACCAUGAACAAAUGUGUAAGAACUCAAAGACAAAUAGAUGAGAUUUGCCUCUUUGAGCCAAAUCUCAUCUAUUUCAGUCAAAAACAAAAGUCUUCACGUCAUGUUGAGGCUAGAGGAUACAUAAAAGUAACCAAAUUCAUUAGGGGGCAUCCUCUGGGGACUGUGAUUGGACCAGAUCAACAAGAUAUUUAAAGAGAAAAACAUGGAACUCAAACUUAAGGAA